AUAUAUAUAUCUCAUCAAAUGGCUUGAUAUUCUCCAUCCAAUAAGGUGAAGGUGUGGCUUGAAGAGAAUAAGGAUACAUGUUACUCGAUUAAUUAAAGAAAAACUCAUUGGAAUCUGAAAUCAGAUGGGAAAUCUUCCUUUGUUUGGUUUGGGUUUGCCGCUUAUAAUGUUAGAUGAGUAGCAUCCAGCUGGGUAUUGGAGAAAUAAUUAAUGAAUAGGUAUAAAUAGUUAAUCAAGGUGG